AUUGAACGCUGGCGGCAGGCCUAACACAUGCAAGUCGAACGAGUGGCGGACGGGUGAGUAAUGUCUGGGAAACUGCCUGAUGGAGGGGGAUAACUACUGGAAACAGUAGCUAAUACAGCAUACCAUCAGAGGUGCCCAGAUGGGAUUAGCUCGGUGGGGGGGUAACGGCCCACCAAGGCGAGGAUCAGUAGCCGGUCUGAGAGGAUGAACGGCCACAUUGGGACUGAGACACGGUCCAGACUCCUACGGGAGGCAGCAGUGGGGAAUGUUGGACAAUGGGCGCAAGCCUGAUCCAGCCAUGCCGCGUGUCUGAAGAAGGCCUUCGGGUUGUAAAGUACUUUUGUCAGGGAAGCGGUACCUGAAGAAUAAGCACCGGCUAACUACGUGCCAGCCGCCGCGGUAAUUC
rnacentral:rRNA from 1 species